CGCCGGGAUGAUUGAGGAAUGCAUAACGGAUUGUACAUGCCUUCCUAAAACGCCCCCAGUCAUUAUGGAAACAGACUUUCAAUGAUGAUUGAUUCACUACUAGUGAUGAUUUGCAAGCAACGAGUAACUUUGAAAGACAUAUGCUAUACAUUUAUUUUUUAAAAUUAUUUAUUUGAAAAUCCAAAACUAACAACAAUAAAAAAUUAAAAAAUUAAUAUUGGUUCAAACGAGUUAACCCGACCAAACUGAAAAAAAUCAUUGGGCGGGUUACACUUUUUUAUUUUUUUUCCGUUGGGCGGGUUUCAAUUAGAUAUUUGCAACCCGACAUUUAUAUUGGGUUGGUAAAAAUAUACUAUAUCCCGACCAAACUAAUCAAUGUACACCCGUAGAUAUUAAUAUUUAGUCUAACAUAUGUCAUUGAGCAACACAAUGACAAGUGUGUAGUCUUAUCAAUGGUACUACAUCCUUAUUAAUAAUCAAAUAAGCAAAAUAAAUAAAUAAAUAAAGACAAAACAAAAAAAGACAAAAGAGUUAGGUAUAUAAUAAUCAUCCAUCUCCAUAUAUAUAUAUAUAUAUAUCUCACUACUCAAUAAACAAAGAUUACCAUUUACCAAACUUAUCUCACCUCCUAACUUUAACUCAAUCCUUAUUUUUUCAAUACCCUCUACUAGUUCACUAUAACUUGCAUACUUAUUGCGAAUGGAAAAUCAUGAAGCAAUACCCUCUACAGGUUCACUUAAUAAAUCUUCUCAUGAAAAUAGCGAUUCUGGAUUCGUGCACCAUUUGUCACUACCUCCAUCUCCUUUACGCUAUCUUAAUCACAUUGAGAAGAGGCUAUGGGAUGCCGAGCAAAAAAUAUUGCUAGCCGAUGAACAGAAAAAGCUUUUGGUAUCACAAGUUUCUUAUUACAAAACAAAAAUCUCAGAUCUACAGCAUGAUUUAAAAAUCCAUCGACAAAUAUCUUCCAGGGAUGCGAAUGACGUUGGUAGACUAAAAAGGGCCUUGGCACAUAUGAAGCACGAAGCAUGUACUCAAUACAAAAGAAACCUUGAAAUGAUGAUUGGUGGUGACAGUGGAUCUGAAAAAACAGCAGGUCCCUAGUCAACUCUAAUUUACUAUGAUGAGGUGUUACUGAUGUUAAAUUAUGUAGUGUGAACAAUGUUUGAUUUAAGUAGUUACUACCAUAUUCAUGUUUUGAAUGUAUUAUUUUCGUAUUUCUAUGUCUAAUGUAUUUUGAGUUGUCAUCUAUUUUAAUAUACAUUAACAACUAUUUCUUAAUAUUUAUUUGCCUUUAAAAAAAACCUUACAAAUAAUAAUAAAAAAAUUAAAAAGCAUCUAGUUAACUGUAUAAAAUAAUAUACCACAUAAUGUCAAAAGGACACUUAUAUAAUAAUAUAUUUUUAAAACACAUUUGGUAUAGUGAUAUGUCUUAUAUAAAUACCCCUAAAUAGAGAAUGCUUAGAAUACCACUUACUAUUAUAUUGCACUUGCAUAUAAAAACUCUUUAAGUUAACUAUGUCUUCCUCUCUUGUGACUUCUAUCAAUACUCGUCCAAAGUGCCAUUGUGGCACAGAUUCGGUGUGCCGAACUUCAAGGAGUGAAGAGAACCCUGGUAGAAGAUUUUGGGGGUGUGGAAACUAUGAUCGAGAUUCUUGUAAGGUAUGUCAUUUUUUCGAGUGGGUGGAUCCAGAUGUUCUGGUUGGAGCUAAUGUAGUAUUGCAGAGGUUGGAAAGAAAAAUUGAGGACCAAAGUAAAGAGAUCAAGUUACUUAAGAAAUUUGUGUUAUUCCUAAUUUGUGUUGAACUAAUAAAAUUAUUGUUGUAUUGAAAAUGUAUAACUAAUCCAUGAUAUGAGUGUUUUUCUUAUUAAACUUAUGUAAUCAGUAGUUUGAGUUAAUAUGUUGUAAUGUAUAAUUAAUAUCAUGGAUUCUUAUUAUAA